UAUAUUUUGUAUGCUUUUGUAUGCUUUUAUAUGCUUUUGUAUAAAAUUUCUACCCGCAACCGUAAAUAUAUAAACUGCCAAGUUAUGCUUUAUUCGCCAUCGAUGAUAUGCUCCUCUUUGCGAACGACACGCAUACUACGAAUAUGUAGGGUAACGCCGAGAGGAAUUUCCCCCACCUUAAGAAACUGCACCCCCACUAUAGGCUAUAUACUAAUACCACUAAUCACUCAUAGUACUUGGAUGUAUAUACCAGAGAGUACAUCCUAAGUACAACUAGGUUAAGCCGAGA